CCUUCCGAGCCUCCAGCACCACGUGUCUGGGUCACGUGAGCAGGCCCACGUGGUCCUGAUGUGGUGUUGGGGCCGCAGGGCUC
rfam:Erinaceus europaeus unplaced genomic scaffold scaffold00087, whole genome shotgun sequence